UACGUAGGGUGCGAGCGUUAAUCGGAAUUACUGGGCGUAAAGCGUGCGCAGGCGGUUAUAUAAGACAGAUGUGAAAUCCCCGGGCUCAACCUGGGAACUGCAUUAGUGACUGUAUAGCUAGAGUGCGGCAGAGGGGGGUGGAAUUCCACGUGUAGCAGUGAAAUGCGUAGAGAUGUGGAGGAACACCGAUGGCGAAGGCAGCCCCCUGGGUCAACACUGACGCUCAUGCACGAAAGCGUGGGUAGCAAACAGGAUUAGAAACCCCAGUAGU
rnacentral:rRNA from 1 species